UAACUCAGCUGGCUAGAGCGCGUCGUUCACACCGACGAGGUCACUGGUUCGAGUCCAGU
rnacentral:tRNA from 1 species